AGUUCUUCAGGCAUCAGAAGCAGGCUUGACUUGACCUUGAAGGAUAUUGGGACCAUGGUUGUGGUGGCUGACUUCUCCCUGUCCUGCAGUUUCCCUACAAAGAUGAUUGAUUGCUUUACCAAUGGAACUAUGGCAGCUCUUGCUGUGAAAGUGGGAUCUGUCCCCAGUUUGUCUCCAAGUCAACUAACUCUAAGGGAUCCAAGUUGCCGGCCUCUUCAGUCUGAUGCUAUCAAUGCGGUUUUCUACUUCAAUGUCAACUCCUGUGGCACAACUAGAAGGUUUGACAACAACCUCCUGACUUAUGAGAAUGAAGUGCUGUUCACAUCUUACAGGU